rnacentral:lncRNA from 1 species
UCAUUCAUCUUCAUCCCAUAUCUCAUUUAUUACUUUUGUGUUUACUAUUUGGAGCCACUAUAGUUGGUUCUAUUCAGUAAGUUUUUAAGUUAAUAAUUUCGACGUAAGUUUAUAACUAAUAAGAGAAUUUCUAAUUCAACAUUUUUUUCUUUUUUUUUUUGUGUUCACCCAACUUUAUUUUUACUUUAAAAUAAAGUUUAGAGUAGAAAAAUGCUUUAAUCUCAUUCCACACUUUAUUUUAUAAUAGAGUAAAAAUAAAUUUGUAUAUAUUUUUUUUUUAAUUAUAUUUUUCACUUCAAAAUGAAAUUGGAUUAGAACAAAAC